rnacentral:snRNA from 1 species
GUGCUCCCUUCAGCAGCACAUAUACUAAACCUGCAACGGUACAGAGAAGAUUAGAAGAUCAUUGCUAAAUGAUCAUCUGUUACUUUGAAACCAAAACACAAAGAUGACAGGCAAAUUCAUGAAACUUUCCAUAUUUUU